GGCCCUGGAGCGGGCGCCAGGUCCUGCCUCAAACCCCAGAGGUUUUCCCUCUCAGCCCCGCUGGCGCCUGCAGCUCUGUCCCCCGCUAGCUCCGCGGGCGCCGUACCCCGGGAGGCCCAGCCCGCUCCGGAAAACCGGCCUCCACCGUCACUGCUGUGUGGAAAUGGCCUGCAGAGCCCGCGCUGGUGCGUCCUGCCAAAAAUGUCCAGACUUUGCACUGGAAAGCCUCUCGGGUCAGCUGUGCGCAGGCCAAAGUUCAGUGCUCCAGGCGAGAGAACAGGAGUCCAGUCACCUCAGGAGAACGGAGGGUUCGAGGGCUUUACUCACUUUGACCGGAGAUAUCUGGGCACGGGCUGGGCUGAACGGUCUUAAACCCCUUCAGCGCUUAGGUAAUCUGCCUUCAGCCCUCUGAGCCUUCGCUGGGUGCCUGCUUUCUCUUCUGGGCCCAGGAGCUAAAAGUAGCAUUUGCUCUCUAAAUUUAGGACCCUAUCUUUAGUUCCGUUGAAUCAAGUCCUGAGACGGUUUUAGCUGACCUAGGUGUAAUGGAUAAGCCUUCUCUGGCCUUUCUUGCCAGCCUAAGGACCGUUCUCACCCAAUUGGGCCUUCGAAGUCAAGUCCUCAGUGAAGCAACGCAGAAGGGAGCACAUAGCAUCUUCCUCAGCAGAUCAGCCAAGAGAACGCAACAGGCAUCCCCUUUGGAAUAGAGCAAAGAAAUAAAAUGAGAGGAGGCCUCUGAAAGCAAGAUGAUAUAUGUUAUUAAGCCAAUUUUCAAAAAGACAUCACAAUCAGCAGCACCACAAUCUACCUGUUCACCUUAGGUAGAAACCUGAAUCAUCAUAGCGAUCUCCUCUGUGACAUUGAUGUUUAUGCUGUGACCUAAAGGCUAAGAAGGAACUAGUGCAUUGAGGAACUUGGGGAAAACAUUCCAAUGGAAGGAAACAGCUUUUUUGCAUCCCUGGGCUGGGAAAGAGAAUGAGACCUUCCCUGCCCAAAUGGACAGCUGAUUUAUACUGGUAAACCUGGGAUAUCAGAAGACAAGGGGAUGGUGACAGUAGCCAUGGUAGAUGGAGCUGUGACAUGUUCAGCAUUAGGCUGUCAAAAUUGGAGUAAGAGGAAAAAGAAGGAAAAAAAGUAAAGCAAACUUACUUUCACAUUCCAAGUCACCACAUUUUUUAAAGUCGGCCAGCAGUUUUGUGCCUUCCAGACACUUCAUCAGCGAAACAACCAAAAGGAGGAUCCUGUGAAUCCCAAGCAAUGCCAUGCUAAAGCAAGCAGGAAACCCAAACAAGAUGUAGUAUUGUGUUAAUAUGAAAAUAUAAUACUGCUGCCGAAAAAGAAUUCAUGAUAACAGGAAGACAGCAUUUUUCAGAAACAACUCAGGAGAUCAACUUCGAUGACACUGACAUCUUUAUAAUACUAAUAAGGGGCUGAUCACAAAGAUCUACAGAGAGCUGACGAAACUCAACAAAGUAUACAACCCAUCAAAAAAUGGGCAGAAGAGCGACAGACACUUCUCCAAAGAGGAAAUGCAAAUGGUCAACAGACAUAUGAAAAAAUGUUCAACAUCACUUGUAAUCAGGGAAAUGCAAAUCAAAACCACAAUGAGAUACCAUCUUUACAUACUAGUGAAAAUGGCACAUAUCAAAAAAACUAACACCAACAAAUGUUAGUGAGGAUGUGGAGAAAAAGGAACUCUUCCUACAUUGCUGGUGGAAUGCAAACUGGUCCAACCACUAUGGAAAGCUGUGUGGAGGUUCCUCAAACUACUAAAAAUGGAGCGUCCAUAUGAUCCAGCAAUUCUACUCCUUGGUACUUACCCAAAGGACACAAAAACAUUAAUUCAAAAGGACACCUGCACUCUUCUGUUUAUUGCAGCACUAUUUACAGUAAGCUAUGGAAACAACCCAAAAAAAGAUGACUGGACCAAGAUGUAGUAUAUACACACAAUGCAAUAUUACUCAGCAAUCAAAAAGGAUAAACUCAUGCCAUAUGCAGCAACAUGGAUGGAGCUCUAAGGGAUUAUGCUCAGCGAAAUAAGCCAGAAAGAAAAAGAAAACUAUCGGAUGGUUUCACUUAUAGGAGGAAUGUAGAGGAACCAAAUAAGGGA